rnacentral:rRNA from 1 species
AACCAGAAGGCGCAAUGAAAGUGAAGGCACGGUCGCCGUGCUGCGUUGAGAGCUGUCCAUGGCAGCACAUCAUCGACCGAUCCCAUCCACGCCCUCGUGGUGUGGCGGGAUUCGAGUAAGAGUGUACCUGUUGCGACCCGAAAGAUGGUGAACUAUGCCUGAAUAGGGUGAAGCCAGAGGAAACUCUGGUGGAGGCCCGUAGCGAUUCUGACGUGCAAAUCGAUCGUCAAAUUUGGGUAUAGGGGCGAAAGACUAAUCGAACCAUCUAGUAGCUGGUUCCCUCCGAAGUUUCCCUCAGGAUAGCUGUAGCCCUAAGCAGUUUUAUCAGGUAAAGCGAAUGAUUAGAGGUAUCGGGGAAGAAACUUCCUCGACCUAUUCUCAAACUUUAAAUAGGUAAGAAGUCCGACUUGCUCAAUUUGAAGCCGGACACAGAAUGCUGGGUUACUAGUGGGCCAUUUUUGGUAAGCAGAACUGGCGAUGCGGGAUGAACCGAACGCCGAGUUAAGGUGCCAAAGUCGACGCUCAUCAGAUCCCACAAA